rnacentral:ncRNA from 1 species
CGAUGAAGCGGGAGGUUGCAGUAAAAUACUGGUUUUUCCGUGGAGAAUGUCCGGUUCUUGAAAUCGGGCGACA